rnacentral:rRNA from 1 species
AUUGAACGCUGGCGGCAGGCUUAACACAUGCAAGUCGAGCGGGGUGAUGGUGCUUGCACUAUCACUUAGCGGCGGACGGGUGAGUAAUGCUUAGGAAUCUGCCUAUUAGUGGGGGACAACAUCUCGCAAGGGAUGCUAAUACCGCAUACGUCCUACGGGAGAAAGCAGGGGAUCACUUGUGACCUUGCGCUAAUAGAUGAGCCUAAGUCGGAUUAGCUAGUUGGUGGGGGAAAGGCCGACCAAGGCGACGAUCUGUAGCGGGUCUGAGAGGAUGAUCCGCCACACUGGGACUGAGACACGGCCCAGACUCCUACGGGAGGCAGCAGUGGGGAAUAUUGGACAAUGGGGGGAACCCUGAUCCAGCCAUGCCGCGUGUGUGAAGAAGGCCUUAUGGUUGUAAAGCACUUUAAGCGAGGAGGAGGCUCUUUUGGUUAAUACCCAAGAUGAGUGGACGUUACUCGCAGAAUAAGCACCGGCUAACUCUGUGCCAGCAGCCGCAGUAA